UUACAAGGUGGAGAAAUUGUGCUUACUGAAACUCUUCUCAGAAAUAUUGCUGUUUGUGGAUGAUAGAAAUCUUCAGAGUUGUCACUUAAGGUAGAGGUAGGAGGGUAAGAAGCGUCAAGGACUCACCGAAUUGUCCAUUCCCCCUUUUGUUCUGCUGUGGAAUGUUUUGUGCUGCUGUGUUGGAAAACCUUGGACAGACAAUUGUCCCCGAUUUGGGAUCACUGGAAAGUCAGCAUGAUUUUCGAACCCCGGAGUUUGUGAAAGCUAUUCUGAAGGUUGCCCUAGGAAGUUGAACAUAAGAUGGACUCCAGGGAAUUAGAAACCCUGUUUUUCCAUGCAACCCUGCUCUCAGACCUCUGUGGACAAGUCGCUUUUCCUUUUAGAACCUCAGUUUCCUCAUAUGUAAAAAGCAGAAAGAUCAGCAGUAGAUAUCCUCACUGGAGUGUUGUUCAGUGACUGCACGGUGACUGAGAAACAUUUUAGCUAUCUUAAAAUGAUGUUCAUAAUAAUAUAGUGAAUAGUCUUAUCUAACAUUUAUGGAUGCUUGUGGUUGGCUAAGCACAUUACAGGGAAAGGGCUGCCUAGGAUUGAAAUGGCCACAGCCCUACAUUACUCAGCCCUGCCAUACCCCGUAUCAUUCCCUUUCAAAUGAAAUCAGAGUGUGUUGGUAUCAGGAAUUAGUUCUGUUCUUCUUAGAAGAGCAGGCAAGAGCUUUGAUGACUUGUGUGCCUGAGAAAGUACAGUUACAGACACUUAAGUACCUACCAAAUUAUCAAGAGGUUGAGAGUUAAUCAUACCCAGCAAUAUUAUAAAAUACCAACAGCACAACCUAUCAAUAAAUAAAUAUGUUGAGCACUUACACGUGCUAAUGUAAUUUUCAAUGAACUAGAAAUAGGCUAUUUAAGUUAUGUACUAUUUUGAGUAAGCGACUAUUAGCUUCACUAAAUUUUGGAGUAAAAUUUUCAUUAAAUAUUUAUUAAUCAGUAUGCUUAGAGAAAUACAAAGCAGUCUAUCUCAACUUUACCCACAGGGCCAAGAGUGGGCAUACUGUUCACCUCAGGCUCCUGCAUCAUCUUAUUGUCUGACAGUGUUAGUCGUGCAGUUGACGCUGGUUGGUUGGUUGAUUGAAUGAAAGACUAUAAGGCAGUGUGUACUGUUUAAUGAGUUCUGUUAGGCACUUAGGAAGUGCUAGAGGAGUUCAGUUAGGGUUGUAGUUCUCGCCCUGGCUGUGCAUCAGAAUUACCUAGAGUGUGCUUUUGAAAUAUGAAGGCCCAAGCUCCACUUUCAUGUGCUUAUCUUGGUCUUAGUAGAACCUAAGUGUGUUUAUAUAACAUUUAAAAGAUGACCAUAAUGUACACCCAGGUUUAAGAAUCAUUGCCUUAGAAAAAUCAGGUUUGGGCUGGAGGCCUAUAAUCCUAGCAUUUUGGGAGGCCAAGACAAGAGAAUUGCUUGAGCUCAGGAGUUCAAAACCAGCCUGGGCAACAUAAUGAGACCUUAUCU
rnacentral:lncRNA from 1 species